rnacentral:rRNA from 1 species
UACGUAGGGUGCGAGCGUUGUCCGGAAUUAUUGGGCGUAAAGAGCUUGUAGGUGGUUUGUCGCGUCUGCUGUGAAAAUCCGAGGCUCAACCUCGGACUUGCAGUGGGUACGGGCAGACUAGAGUGUGGUAGGGGAGACUGGAAUUCCUGGUGUAGCGGUGGAAUGCGUAGAUAUCUGGAGGAACACCGGUGGCGAAGGCGGCAUUCUGGACCAUUACUGACGCUGAGGAGCGAAAGCCAGGGGAGCAAACGGG